ACAUCCAAGGAAGGCAGCAGGCGCGUAAAUUACCCAAUCGUAACUCACGGAGGUAGUGACGAAAAAUACUAAUACGGGGCUCUACGAGCUUUGUAAUUGGAAUGAGAACAAUUUAAAUCCCUUAACGAGGAUCAAUUGGAGGGCAAGUCUGGUGCCAGCAGCCGCGGUAAUUCCAGCUCCAAUAGCGUAUAUUAAAGUUGUUGCAGUUAAAAAGCUCGUAGUUGAAUUUCUGGGCGGCCCGCCGG
rnacentral:rRNA from 1 species